GAUGAACGCUGGCGGCGUGCCUAAUACAUGCAAGUCGAGCGAACAGACGAGGAGCUUGCUCCUCUGACGUUAGCGGCGGACGGGUGAGUAACACGUGGAUAACCUACCUAUAAGACUGGGAUAACUUCGGGAAACCGGAGCUAAUACCGGAUAAUAUAUUCAACCGCAUGGUUCAAUAGUGAAAGACGGUUUUGCUGUCACUUAUAGAUGGAUCCGCGCCGCAUUAGCUAGUUGGUAAGGUAGCGGCUUACCAAGGCAACGAUGCGUAGCCGACCUGAGAGGGUGAUCGGCCACACUGGAACUGAGACACGGUCCAGACUCCUACGGGAGGCGGCAGUAGGGAAUAUUCCGCAAAGGGCGAAAGCCUGACGGAGCAACGCCGCGUGAGUGAUGAAGGUCUUCGGAUCGUAAAACUCUGUUAUUAGGGAAGAACAAAUGUGUAAGUAACUAUGCACGUCUUGACGGUACCUAAUCAAAAAGCCACGGCUAACUACGUG
rnacentral:rRNA from 1 species